rnacentral:rRNA from 1 species
GUCCACGCCGUAAACGAUGGGCACUAGAUGUGGGCGGUGUCGACUCCGCCCGUGUCGCAGCUAACGCACUAAGGCCCCGCCUGGGGAGUACGGCCGCAAGGCUAAAACUCAAAGGAAUUGACGGGGGCCCGCACAAGCAGCGGAGCAUGUGGUUUAAUUCGACGCAACGCGAAGAACCUUACCUGGGCUUGACAUGUCAGUGAAAACCUUAGAGAUAAGGUCCCUCUUCGGAGCGCUGUCACAGGUGGUGCAUGGCUGUCGU